GCGUCACCCCGGGCAAGUCGC
rnacentral:misc_RNA from 1 species